rnacentral:tRNA from 1 species
GCCCCCUUAGCUCAGCGGCCAGAGCGCUCGCCUUGUAAGCGAGUGGUCGAGGGUUCGACUCCCUCAGGGGGCU